rnacentral:rRNA from 1 species
UACGGAGGGUGCGAGCGUUGUCCGGAAUCACUGGGCGUAAAGGGCGCGUAGGCGGUCUGCUAAGCGUGUGGUGAAAGCUCGGGGCUCAACCCCCGAGUCUGCCAUGCGAACUGGUGGACUUGAGCACUGUAGAGGCAGGUGGAAUUCCGGGUGUAGCGGUGGAAUGCGUAGAGAUCCGGAAGAACACCAGUGGCGAAGGCGGCCUGCUGGGCAGUUGCUGACGCUGAGGCGCGACAGCGUGGGGAGCAAACAGG